ensembl:lncRNA
GCCGGCCGCCAGGCAGCGCCCGCCACGGGACCCGCCGGGAAACGGCCCCUGGUUUGGAAAGCUGCACAGCAGGAUUUUCCCGUGCGCUGCUCUUCUUCCCUGCCUCUGAAACGUUUCUUUUUCGAUUGCUGCUAACAACAGGCUUGAGCGGGCCCCGGAGAAGCUCGUGAGGUUCAAAAUACGGAAGGACAAGGUGUAGCACCUGGGAAUGGCGACCCCUGCUACCAAUGCCUGACAGGGGAUGUAAGGAUGGAGCGCAGCUCCGCUGGAAAGGACUUGGGGUACUACUGGUGGAUGGCAGCUGGACAUGAGCCAGCUGUGUGCCCUCACAGCCCAGAAAGCCAGCCGUACCCUGGGCUGCAUCAAAGGAAGCGUGGCCAGCAGGGUGAGGGAGGCGAUCCUGCCCCUCUGCUCUGUGCUGGUGAGGCCUCACCUGGAGCACUGUGUCCAGACGUGGAGUCCUCAGUACAGCAGAGACGUGGAGCUGUUGGAGCGCGUCCAGAGGAGGGCCACAGAAAUGAUCCCAGGGAUGGAACGGUUCUCCUGCGAGGAUAGGCUGAGAGCUGGGGCUGUGCAGCAUGGAGAAGGGGCAGAGCAUUGACAAACAGGAGUAAGUUCAGUGGAGAACUACCAGGAUGGUUGGGGCUGGAACACUUAUCCUGGGAGGAAAGGUGAAGGAACAGGAACUACUCAUCCUUCGAAGGGUCCUCGUGGCAGUUCCCUGUCUAUAGUGAGGCUUCUGAGGAGAUGUUAAGCAAGGCUCUUGACAGUGAUGUGUGCUGGGAGGACAAGAGAAAACAGGGCUAAUUUCAAACAAGAGGCCCAUUCCAUUAGCCUGUCCUGCCUUUCUCUUUCCCAUGAAUUGUGCUCUUUAACAGCCUUUUGUACUGAUCAAAGGACAGAGGCUCAGGAGUUGGGAAGCUGAAGCUCCUGUGAACCACUCUUUCCUGUGGUCUGGGAAAUAACACUGAGCUGCAUCAGAACUUGGCCCCGACUCAAAAGCUUGGGGAGGUAAUUAAUACAUUUUUUAAAUAUAAAUGUGGAAAUCCAUUUAGGGAACAGCAAUUGAAAUUCGUUAGCAUUGCAGGAUUUUCAUUUUCUGUGCUAGAAGCCACCUGUAGAAUGCUAGUUUUUAUCUGAAGAUUUAAAUGAUCAAGUAAGAUUUUGGAUAUUUUUUCAUGUCAAACUCCUCAGAUACUGUAACACGUAGGUAUUUCCAUUCUGUUUCCUGAGAAGCCAGCCUUACCAGUCAAAACAACCCAAGCUGUUUGAUUGUCUUCAGCCAUGUCUGUUUCCACCUCUGCUGCCAGCAGCCACGGAACGUGGCAGCAUUUGAGGAGCAGCCAUUCUCUCCCUUUCACGUGUACAGCAAGGACACAGUCCUCAACAGCUGAGAAGAGUAAGGUAAGGAAUUAUUACCAGAGCUGCCAGGCUGAUGAAUAUGAUAGCUCUCUGGAGGGAUCUGAUAUCAGUUCCUGACUCAGAGCUUGGUCCUUUGAACUGCAGUGUUUAACUGCUAAAUUUCUAUCACCUUUGUAUCUACACUUAGGGUCCUCAUCCAAAAAGAGAAUAAUGAAGUAGAUGGAAGCAAUUACAGCUUUUCUUUUUCUUUUUAAUUUGAUAUCAAGGUGUCCUUUACAAGCAAGGCAUGUGCUGAUCUUUAUCAAAUAAAUAAAUAAAUAAAACUGGCAUCCAAACUCUUUUUGAGGAAAAAACUGCAGUUUUCCUGAGCCAGAGAAGAUGGAGUUGUGUGCAACUGGCACAAGUGUCCACGCUUGGACGAUUGCAGGGAUCUUUGCAGCUAAAAGAAUGAAGGCAGUUGCCUGCUUCAGAAAUGUCAAAGCAAAAACCUAGCCAGAAACAGUUUGCCUGAGGUCACUGGAUCAUAGCAAAGCAUGGAAAAUGGAUGCUAUCAGUCAAGUCACACUUGUAACUUCAGUCCUAGCACUGCUCAUCUCCUGCAGGUCUGCUAGAACAGAAUUAUCUACCAGUUUCAAGCAGCAGUGCAUUUCAUAUUUAUAUUUAUUUCCAUGGAGACAACAACGGAUACAAACAGCACAAUGAUACUAUUUGAUGGAGCAAAUUCUCAGCUACCAAAAAACCUCUUUUUCUACAGUAGCUGAAUCGUGUGGAUGAACUGAUCAGGAUGAUCCUUGUUUUGUGGCAUGACAGCUGUGCAUGGCUGUCUGGAACACGGCUUGUAUUUCACAUUGCUGUCACCACUGCUGAAACACACCACCCAGCCCCUCACUGUGCUCACAUUUAUUGUUUGGGCUCCAUAAAUGCUCAGCAAGCAUUGAUGAAUGUCAAUGGGUGCCAUUUUUUCUGCAUGAAGGAAUGCAAUGACACAACUUUGCUCCAUCCACACUUCCAUGCCAGACAUCAUUCUGUCAGACUACCCCUUUGCUGCCAUCUGUCACAGAACAACAGCAUGGAAUGGGAUAUUGGUGGGAAGGUUCAGCCUCUACUGCCACAUCUCCAACAUCAGCUUCUGAUGUCAUAGGCCAACAAAACAGGAGAAAUCAGCAACCAUGGAUACGCAAUGAAGAACACUGUGCUCUCCACUCACCGAAGUCUUGAGCUGUUUGAGUGGUGCUGGUGUGCUGAGACACGGGGAAAGACAGCUCUUCUCCUCCUCAUUUGUUCCUCAAGUGCUAUUCACUUCCCAAGGACUUAUGGUAUAUUUUGCACAUAAGUCUACAAAGUGAGUCUCUCACUGCAGGGGAAAAGUGUCAUUUGAGCAGUCUGUCAAAGUGAAAAGUGGCUGAAAUGACCACUGGCUGGUUGAAAUGACAACAGCUCCACUUAAAGCUGUGCACUUGCAGCUGUGAGUGGAUUCUGGGUUGAACUGCGUGUGGAUCUGAUCUGGUUCAACCCUAGACUGGAAGUUCUCAGUCAGUGCAAAACUAGUUCAGUGUUUGUUGAAUGAAUUACUCUGAAAUGAACAUUUUACAGCAUUUAUUCCUAGCAUAUUAGCAGAGCAGAAUCUAUCUAGACAUUUAUCCUUCUUUCUUUGAUAACAGUGUGACUUAUUUAUGAAUGGCUUCUGGCCCAUUUUUCUACCAGUGACUAUUGUGAAUUUCAGCA